GUGCCAGCAGCCGCGGUAAUACGUAGGGGGCAAGCGUUGUCCGGAUUUACUGGGCGUAAAGAGCGCGUAGGCGGACGUUUAAGUGUGGCCUGAAAGCCCCCGGCUCAACCGGGGAUCCGGGUUGCAAACUGGGCGUCUUGAGGGGGAUAGGGGAAGGUGGAAUUCCUGGUGUAGCGGUGAAAUGCGUAGAGAUCAGGAGGAACACCCGUGGCGAAGGCGGCCUUCUGGGUCCGCCCUGACGCUGAGGCGCGAAAGCGUGGGGAGCGAACGGGAUUAGAUACCCCAGUAGUCC
rnacentral:rRNA from 1 species